UCAUCCUUUUUUCACCUACCAGGCAAAGCACUCCCCAUUUCUUCAACUCCGGCAUUGUGUAGGAGUUUUCUUUCUGUGGCUGGUGGCCACACCAGUCCCUCCUCUGGACAUGUUGCAGCUUGUUUCCCUCCCACCUCACAGGGAAGCUCACAGAAUGUGCCAGAACUUCAACAGGCAGCACUGGUCUGAGCUCUGUUCCUGGUCCAAUUCAAGUCCUCAAGAUCUUCUGCGAGAAGAAGAGCCAUUACCGUGGACUAAACAGGCCAGUGUGGACAGUCACUUUACAUCCCUUAUCUCUCAUCUUCACAGCAGCCCUGCAAGUCUGUGAAGUAUUCUCAGUCCCGGGACUGGUUCCACCAUGCAGGUGGAUGCAGGGUGGUGAUUCGGGAAGGGUGGGCAGAGAGAGGAUGUUUGUCUCUCAGUACGCAUGGAAAUGUUGCUGAACACUGCUGAGAUGGAGGGAGAGAAGUGAGCAGAUCGGCUUUUAUUUUGAAGAUGAUUAUAAUUAAGCCAAAUCAUUUUCUGCCUUCUUUUAAGCUC